GUUGGUUUGAAAUCUGCUGGUCAAGAAUUUCAUUAUCUGCCUCUGUCUGAUUGGUGGAAACAGAGCAGACCAGAAGCAACAGCGAGAAAAACACCAUGAUCUCCAUUCUUUCUCAGCAGUACUGAUGUUAUGAACAUCCUUCAAACUGUCACAGAUGUAUCAUCAAGGACAGCAGCUUUACAAACUGCACAUCUUUAUUUAGACUUCUUCUCUCUUUUUGAUCUCUGAGCUGACUUCAACAUAACUUCAUCUAAACCAUCAACAUGUCUGUUAGAACCCAUCCCUGCAACACUGCUCACAGAUGUGUUACCUUCACUUUCACAUUAAAUCAGCUGAGCAGCUCUCCAUCAGACACAAGUCUGUCCCCAUCCUCCAGCUCUGAUGCAUUUCUGUUUGGUGGUUCUAUCCUGCUGAGCAUCGAGGUGCAGGACGUCCACAGAAGCACAGAGG